AGUUAUUGUCGGUAUGUGAACUCAAUUGUAUUUUAUAUGCAGCAUAGGGCAUGUCUUAUAAUGUACUAUAAACUUGUGAAACACAGGAUCCCAAACUUUAUUUAAAUGAAAAAAACACUAAAGUCAAGAUGCCUGUCCAAAGAUUGCUUGUUCAUCAGGAUGAAUCAAUAACGUCUCUUUCUGCACAACUAACUGAAUUUUAGAAAGUUUCCACCUAAAAAGUUACAUCUUCCAAUGACAUGAACCAUCAAAGAAUUUGGUCUUCAUUAUUAAUAUUUUUUUUUUCUUAACAAAGCUAAAGAUAAAAUCACUUUUAGCAUUGAAGACCAUUUGAGCUUUACAAUGUAUGUAAAUAUUUCCAGUGUAAAUAUGCUUCUCAAUUCAUCACAGCGAGUCACCAUGCAUCCUAAUGUAUCCUGCCUUCCUAUUACCAAGCUCUUGCAGUAUUAGCUUGUUAGUAGUAUAAAUUAGAUUGCUAACAUACCCAUGACAGCACUAUUAUUCACAUGACAAAUGCCACUAUUAUAUUUGGAGUAUUUAACUGUAUUUUUGGGAACAUUCUAUGUAUAUUCCUUUAAAAGUUUAAAAAACAUGUUUUUCUCCCCACAAGUCUAUAUAAACUUAGACACCAGCACCAAUGUAAACAAUCUAUAUCCUUUAUUAACCUCAAACUAACUAACAAGCUGGAGCGACCAAAAUUGUUCUUAGGAAUAAUACUUGAAUAUAAUGUAUAGUUUUUCUUCUAUAUACGGUACUUGUAUAAUCCGCAAAAAAGUAAUGCAAAUUUUGGUGUUUAGUUUUUGAUAAAGUUUUUAUAAAAACCGAAUACUUAGUUUAUCAUAUGCCGAAACUAUUUGAUGUCCUAAUUUUUUUUUUUAAUUCUCAGUCACCCUUACAACAAUCUAUUCAUGACAUAGCACUUCCCUUGUAUAUGCUUUUUUAUAUUCAUAAUUAUGUUUAUUACUAAUUGUAUAUGUAGCAGUUGGUUCCGCAAAUUGCAGUAUUACCCUCGUAGUUCAUCAUUCCACCCGAUUUAAUUCAAGAACACUUGUACAUAUCAACCUUGAAGUGGGUGGUAACAUGGUGGACUAACGAGGGAUGUGUCUUGAGCACAUUAUUAAUCCCUAUAUAUCCAGCAAUAUCAUGCACAUUAAUCAUUCGUCCAUUAGCUGCACAACAUCACAUAUAUUCAUUAUAUACAUCUGUAUUAACCUGCCUAUGCAUGUAAUAUUAUACAUACCACAUGCUGUGUAUAAAGGUCACAAUAUAUAAUAUAACAUACACAAUACUAAUGUAAAAUGUGUGUUUUUUGUAUUUGGGGUAGAACAGAUUUGUGGUAUUGGUCAUCCUUGCUUAAAUCUGUGAAUGCGUUUUUAUGUAAACGUACAGUU